GAUGAACGCUGGCGGCGUGCCUAAUACAUGCAAGUCGAGCGAACAGACGAGGAGCUUGCUCCUCUGACGUUAGCGGCGGACGGGUGAGUAACACGUGGAUAACCUACCUAUAAGACUGGGAUAACUUCGGGAAACCGGAGCUAAUACCGGAUAAUAUAUUGUACCGCAUGGUUCAAUAGUGAAAGACGGUUUUGCUGUCACUUAUAGAUGGAUCCGCGCCGCAUUAGCUAGUUGGUAAGGUAACGGCUUACCAAGGCAACGAUGCGUAGCCGACCUGAGAGGAUGAUCGGCCACACUGGAACUGAGACACGGUCCAGACUCCUACGGGAGGCAGCAGUAGGGAAUCUUCCGCAAUGGGCGAAAGCUUGACGGAGCAACGCCGCGUGAGUGAUGAAGGUCUUCGGAUCGUAAAACUCUGUUAUUAGGGAAGAACAAAUGUGUAAGUAACUAUGCACGUCUUGACGGUACCUAAUCAGAAAGCCACGGCUAACUACGUG
rnacentral:rRNA from 1 species